AAUCAACGCUGGCGGCGUGCCUCAGACAUGCAAGUCGAACGAUUAAACUUGCCUUCGGGCAAGAUAUAAAGUGGCGCACGGGUGAGUAACACGUAAGUAAUCUACCUUCGAGUGGGGAAUAACGUCGGGAAACCGACGCUAAUACCGCAUAAUGCAGCGGCACCUAAUGGUGACAGUUGUUAAAGGAGCAAUUCGCUUGAAGAGGAGCUUGCGGCAGAUUAGCAGUUGGUAAGGUAAUGGCUUACCAAGGCUACGAUCUGUAACCGGUCUAAGAGGACGGUCGGUCACACUGACACUGAAUAACGGGUCAGACUCCUACGGGAGGCAGCAGUCGGGAAUUUUGGGCGAAUAGGGCGAAAGCCUGACCCAGCAACGCCGCGUGAAGGAUGAAGUAUUUCGGUAUGUAAACUUCGAAAGAAUGGGAAGAAUCAAUGACGGUACCAUUUAUAAGGUCCGGCUAACUACGUGCCAGCAGCCGCGGU
rnacentral:rRNA from 1 species